AACCCUACGGGGCGCAGCAGUGAGGAAUAUUGGUCAAUGGGCGCGAGCCUGAACCAGCCAAGUAGCGUGAAGGAUGACUGCCCUACGGGUUGUAAACUUCUUUUAUAAAGGAAUAAAGUGAGGCACGUGUGCCUUUUUGUAUGUACUUUAUGAAUAAGGAUCGGCUAACUCCGUGCCAGCAGCCGCGGUAAUACGGAGGAUCCGAGCGUUAUCCGGAUUUAUUGGGUUUAAAGGGAGCGUAGCUGGGGUGUUAAGACAGUUGGGAAAGUUUGUGGCUCAACCGUAA
rnacentral:rRNA from 1 species